rnacentral:rRNA from 1 species
UACGUAGGGUGCAAGCGUUGUCCGGAAUCAUUGGGCGUAAAGAGCGCGUAGGCGGCCCUGUAAGUCCGCUGUGAAAGUCAAGGGCUCAACCCUUGGAUGCCGGUGGAUACUGCAGGGCUAGAGUCCGGAAGAGGCGAGUGGAAUUCCUGGUGUAGCGGUGAAAUGCGCAGAUAUCAGGAGGAACACCGAUGGCGAAGGCAGCUCGCUGGGACGGUACUGACGCUGAGGAGCGAAAGCGUGGGGAGCGAACAGG